GGAUUGUAGUCUGCAACUCGACUACAUGAAGCUGGAAUCGCUAGUAAUCGCGAAUCAGAAUGUCGCGGUGAAUACGUUCCCGGGUCUUGUACACACCGCCCGUCACACCAUGGGAGUCAGCAACGCCCGAAGCCGGUGACCCAACCGAAAGGAGGGAGCCGUCGAAGGUGGGGCCGAUAACUGGGGUGAAGUCGUAACAAGGUAAC
rnacentral:rRNA from 1 species